rnacentral:lncRNA from 1 species
CCUCCUUAUUUCAUCUCCACACCCCACUUCCUCUAGAUCAAAUCUAAGAGAAAGAGAGAUUAGAGAGAGGAAGAUAAUAGAAAGGGUUCUUUUUUUCUCCUUGGUGUUCAAGAAAGGUUCCUACGAAUCAGCAUGAAAGGGUUUGCGCAAUAGGCUUUUUCUUUCCACUAGUUCUAGUCGAAAGGGCUAGAUCCAAGCAAAGAAGCGAGGUCUACAAGGUGCUAGCACUCUGAUGGCAUCAGUGGUUCGAUCAGAUCAUCUCCAUAUAAACACCAG